GACGAACGCUGGCGGCGUGCUUAACACAUGCAAGUCGAGCGGUAAGGCCCUUUCGGGGGUACACGAGCGGCGAACGGGUGAGUAACACGUGGGUGACCUGCCCUCAGCUCUGGGAUAAGCCUGGGAAACUGGGUCUAAUACCGGAUAUGACUCCAUGACGCAUGUUGUGGGGUGGAAAGCCUUGUGCGGCUGAGGAUGGGCCCGCGGCCUAUCAGCUCGUUGGUGGGGUGANGGCCUACCAAGGCGACGACGGGUAGCCGGCCUGAGAGGGCGACCGGCCACACUGGGACUGAGACACGGCCCAGACUCCUACGGGAGGGCAGCAGUGGGGAAUCUUGCGCAAUGGGCGAAAGCCUGACGCAGCGACGCCGCGUGAGGGAUGACGGCCU
rnacentral:rRNA from 1 species